UACGUAGGGGGCAAGCGUUGUCCGGAUUUAUUGGGCGUAAAGCGCGUGUAGGCGGCCAGAAAAGUCCGCUGUGAAAACUCGAGGCUCAACUUCGAGCUGUCGGUGGAAACUUUCUGGCUAGAGUCCGGAAGAGGAGAAUGGAAUUCCUGGUGUAGCGGUGAAAUGCGCAGAUAUCAGGAAGAACACCCGUGGCGAAGGCGGUUCUCUAGUACGGUACUGACGCUGAGACGCGAAAGCGUGGGGAGCGAACAGG
rnacentral:rRNA from 1 species